CUUUUGGUCAUGUAGUGUUUCUACCUAAUGUUAGAUAAUAGCAGGUGUCCACAUACUUUUGGUCAUGUAGUGUAUAAAUCUCAUGAUUCAAUGAUUAUUUAAUUCUCACUAUCUUUAUUUAAUUUUUACAGAUGAACUCAAAGAAGAGCUGAGGAAAGCUAAAGAGAUUAUCCAAUCCCUCUCCACCUCUCCAGGUGGUCAACAGAAAACACAGACUCCUUCCCAAAAGUCUGAGGGGAUUGAAGGGAUGGAGAUGGAGUCUAUACCAGGGAGGAAGUCUGGUCCUGGUCCAGGGAGGAAGUCUGCUCCUGGUCCAGGGAGGAAGUCUGCUCCUGAGAUGAAGCCUUUACUGGCUGCUGGACCACAGAAGGAUGAUCUGGAUGAUCUGGAGAGGGGAGGAAGAGUUACUACAGAAUUUAACUAUGUGCUAUAGGGUUACUAUAGAGAGAUUAUAACUAUAGAGCUGAGUUACUAUAGAGAGACUAUGACUAUAGAGCUGAGUUACUAUAGAGAGACUAUAACUAUAGAGAGACUAUAACUAUAGAGCUGAGUUACUAUAGAGA